CGGCAUAUGACAAAUCGUGCACUGCAUUCUACAAACUGCAUACUAAAGUGUACACUGCAUAUGAAAAAUAGUACACUGCAUAUUACAAAGUGUACACCACAUACUACAAAGUGUAAAUGGCAUAUGAAAAAUCGUACACGGCCUACUACAAACUGCACACUGCAUACUACAAAGUGUACAAGUGCAUUGGAAUAACUAUGCAUCCUAGACAAAGAAAACAGUACUUUGGUCAAUAAGUCUAAGCACAGAAGUUUUGGCAGUGGUACACGUUUAAUGAGUUACGGACAGGAUAUUCCUUCAGCUUCCUACAACUACACACAAGCGGAUUCAAAAAGCACAAUUUUAAUCAUAUUUAUUGUUAUACUUAAAAUAAAUAGGCCAACUUUCUUUAUAAAAGGUUCAUGGGGGAUAGUCUACAAAGAGAAACAAAGCUUUUAGGACGGACUCUGUCUUUUACACCUGAAUAGGCUGUCCUGUCCUGGGCUGUCCUGGGGUGUCCUGUCCUGGGCUGUCCUGUGCUGUCCUGUCCUGUCCUGGGCUGGCCUGUUCUGGGCUGUCCUGUUCUGGGCUGUCCUGUCCUGGGCUGUCCUGUCCUGGGCUGUCCUGUCCUGGGCUGUCCUGUCCUGGGCUGUCCUGUCCUGGGCUGUCCUGUCCUGGGCUGUCCUGUCCUGGGCUGUCCUGUUCUGGGCUGUCCUGUCCUGGGCUGUCCUGUCCUGGGCUGUCCUGUCCUGGGCUGUCCUGGGCUGUCCUGUGCUGUCCUGUGCUGUGCUGUGCUGUCCUGUGCUGUCCUGUGCUGUCUUGUCCUGGGCUGUCCUGUGCUGUCCUGUCCUGUGCUGUCCUGUGCUGGGCAGCCCUAACGCUGCAGAUAUGGGGGUGGGGGGGGCAGCCAGGUGUGGAGGUGUUUGGGUGCGACUGGGUUAUCUGUGUCUGGAAAUAGAUCUCUUACAAGGCCCUCAGUCUGGCCAGUAGAGCUUCUACAUCAGAGUCUCCAUUGGUGUUGCUGGGACAUGGAGAUUCUCUCUCUACCUCAACCUCUCUCUCCCUCCCUCUCUCCUUCUCCCGCCCUCUUCCCAUCCCUCUCUCAUUCUCCCUCCCUCUCUCAUUCUCCCUCCCUCUCUCUAUCCCCGUGUCUCGGUCCAUCCCGGUGGUGGUUAUGGGUUUGUGUUCUCCAGGUUCCCUACGUAGUGGACCCCUGCUCCUGGCCGUGGCAGACCCCGUAGCGUUAGUGUUAGGCGGAUGUCCCUCUGUGUCAUAAUGAGACUCCUUGGUGGGCGCCACUCCUCUCUGUCCUCUCACAGCCACCCCCAUCACCGCCGCUGUGCUCACAUUGAUAUUCUGACGGGAUCUCGACCUUGGUAAAGGUGUCUUUGUGUUUUCUGCGGGGAAAAGAUAGAGGAGGAGGAGAGAUGAGGAAGAGGAUAAGAAGGGUAGUGAAAGAGUCAGAAUGAGAGUUGUACACAAACGAAUACAG
rnacentral:lncRNA from 1 species